rfam:Drosophila pseudoobscura pseudoobscura strain MV2-25 chromosome 3, whole genome shotgun sequence.
AAGGGGGUGGUUUUAGUACGUAUACCUUGACUAGAGCCAGGAAUCGUGCAUGACAAUUGGUAUCGCAUGAAGAUUUCCACCCCUC